rnacentral:rRNA from 1 species
UACAGAGGGUGCAAGCGUUGUUCGGAAUUACUGGGCGUAAAGGGCGUGUAGGCGGUUUAACAAGUCAGAUGUGAAAUCCCAGGGCUUAACUCUGGAAGUGCAUUUGAAACUGUUAGGCUAGAGUGCAGUAGAGGAUGGCGGAAUUCCCAGUGGAGAGGUGAAAUUCGUAGAUAUUGGGAGGAACACCGGUGGCGAAGGCGGCCAUCUGGGCUGUAACUGACGCUGAGGCGCGAGAGCGUGGGGGAGCAAACAGG